rnacentral:rRNA from 1 species
UACGGAGGGUGCAAGCGUUAUCCGGAUUCACUGGGUUUAAAGGGUGCGUAGGCGGGUUUGUAAGUCAGUGGUGAAAUCCCGAAGCUUAACUUCGGAACUGCCAUUGAUACUAUAGAUCUUGAAUACUGUGGAGGUGGACGGAAUAUGUCAUGUAGUGGUGAAAUACUUAGAUAUGACAUAGAACACCGAUUGCGAAGGCAGUUCACUACACGGCGAUUGACGCUGAGGCACGAAAGCGUGGGGAUCAAACAGG